UCCCUUAGUAGCGGCGAGCGAACAGGGAAAUGCCCAGCACCGAAGCCCACGGUUCUAAUACAGCCGUUGUGCAAUGUGGUGUUUGGGAGGACUCAAUUAACCUGUAUAUAUGUGGCGUGUCCAAGUCCUUCUUGAAGGGGGCCGUUUAUUCCCAUAGAGGGUGCCAGGCCCGUAGUUGACCGUUACUGUAUAUACGGGUGAGUUUCUCCUUAGAGUCGGGUUGCUUGAGAGUGCAGCCCUAAGUAGGUGGUAAACUCCAUCUAAGGCUAAAUAUAACCACGAGACCGAUAGCGAACAAGUACCGUGAGGGAAAGUUGAAAAGAACUUUGAAGAGAGAGUUCAAGAGUACGUGAAACCGUUCAGGGAUAAACCUGUGAAACCCGAAUAAUCGACUAAGGAGAUUCACUGCCUCACCGUUAAUGGCCCAUUUACGAUUAACAUUAUUAAAUAUGUUCAUGGAAUAUGGGGACGUUUUGUGGCCUCGUUAUGUGGCAUUUCGGUGUCGCACAUUAACGUUGUUGCAUUACGCCCGGUUGCUAAUGGUUGUCUGUUAUCGGGGGCGUGCACUUCUCCUUUAGUAGAACGUCGUGACUCGUUCGGGGUUGGUUUAAGGGCCACAAUUGAUAGACCGUGCGUUCUAUUUAAUACAAUGUUUGCUUUAAUUAUUUAUUAAAUGAAACACGGAUCAGUGGUUAUUCCUAACCGAUGACCGGAUGGUAAAUUGCGGUGAUGGGUCGCAUAAUAUAACACUAUAUGUGUUAAUAUAUUAAAAAUAUAUGCGUUCUGGCUCGUUACAAAUGUUACAUAUUAAAUAUUAAUAUUAUGAUAGUUUGGAUAAAUAUAUGCCUCUAUCAUAAGUAUGUCGUUGCUAGUAACGAUGCCUUAUAGAGAAAUGUGGAACAAUAUUGAAAAAUAGUGGCUCAUACACCCGUCAACGACGCAAAAGCUUUGGGUAGUCUCAGGACCCGUCUUGAAACACGGACCAAGGAGUCUAGCAUGUACGCAAGUCAUUGGGCUUGUAAAACCUAUAGGCGAAAUGAAAGUAAAAGUUUAUUUAAAACAUAAAUUAAGGGAAGAUGGGCCCGCUUCAAAUGGAGCCUCGCAUUCCCGGGGCACUCGGUGUACCAAAUAUUUUUUUUAAAAAUUUUUGGGAGCCGAGUGCACCAAGAGCGUACACGCUGGGACCCGAAAGAUG
rnacentral:rRNA from 1 species